rnacentral:rRNA from 1 species
UACGAAGGGGGCUAGCGUUGCUCGGAAUCACUGGGCGUAAAGGGCGCGUAGGCGGCGUUUUAAGUCGGGGGUGAAAGCCUGUGGCUCAACCACAGAAUUGCCUCGAUACUGGGACGCUUGAGUGUGGUAGAGGUUGGUGGAACUGCGAGUGUAGAGGUGAAAUUCGUAGAUAUUCGCAAGAACACCGGUGGCGAAGGCGGCCAACUGGACCAUCACUGACGCUGAGGCGCGAAAGCGUGGGGAGCAAACAGG